GAGCACUGUUCGUGACCUGUUUACCUGGCUGUGGCUAACGGGUUCCAUUCCAGUGCCACAGCAAUUCCAAGAACACAUGAUUGGCCGACUGGUGGUGGCUGUCAGUUUCAGGUCUUGGAGACAAAA
ensembl:snoRNA